CUUUUAGACUUAUAAAGACCGUUGAAUCAUUUUGAAGAUGGAGGAAGUUCAGUUUUGUCUCCAUGGCCUCCAUUAAUAUUAGAAGUGUUUUCAUCUUCUUCUUCAUUUCAGCAAUCUUCUUUUUGCAACUUCUUUUCAUUACCGCAGAUGGAAGCGGGGGAUUCAGAACCGAACGAUAUGAUCCAAGAACACCACCAACACCACAAGCAAACAUGAUGUCACCUGAAUCGAGUUCGCCACCGCCAAUUUACACUUAAGAUUAUAGUUACUUUAUGCCAAAACUCAAACUACCUUCGUAAGACGCUAUGUUGUUCAAUUCAUAAUGUUACAAUAUAAUGUUGUUACAAUAUAAUGUUGUGGUAGUAACAUUUGACAUGGUUGUAAAAAAAGGUUCUUAAUGAUUAUUUUUUUGUGGUUGUUGUGUGUGUAUUGUGAUC